UUGUCCAGUCACCUGCUAAGUUUGUUUUUCUUUUCUCGUGCCUGUGCUUUUCCAGAUGACUUCCCACCUGGUUGGAAACAAGCCAUCCACCAUGUCAAGUUAAUGCGAAGAGGGAUUCAUGAAGGCUCGAUACAAAACCAACCACGUCACUGUCAGAGGGGAAUGAAGACCAUCUGCAGCCCUCCUGCCCUCCUGACAUCUGGAGAUGGGCUGA